GUGCUUGCUUUUAACUGCACAUACACAAAAAUUGAAAUGAUACAGAGAUUAGCAUGGCCCCUGAGCAAGGAUGAUCCACAAAUCUGUGAAGUGCUCCAUACUUUA